rnacentral:lncRNA from 1 species
UCGUGGGCGCGUUCUCUCUUCCAUUCGAUCCUCCUUUUGUUAGCGCUCCGGCUUCUUCCAGGUCUCACCUGCUCCAGUGCGAUCCGGCGCCAUCGCGCUUUGGGCGAGCAUGGCCAUCGGGAGUAGCGAGGUGGGGACCGAGCUGACGCCUGCCUGGCCCUGGCGAUGGUGGCGCGCGCCGGGGAAGGACUGAUUGGAGCAUGGCGCCAAAUGGGUCACGGAUGGCGAGGGGGCGCAGGAGCUCUCGGUGUGACCUGGCGCUGUGGAUGUGAUACACAGUAGCCUGAGUGACGCUGCUCUGCUGUCCUAAGGAGAGAACCCUUUUUCUGAAGAUGGGAGGUGGCUAGUGAAGGAGGAAUUGUGUUCUCGGUGAUGUCUGGAAGAGAUGUGUGAUGUUGGAAGAUGAUUAUGAAAUAUCGGAAAGGAGUGAAAUCAAAGGAUAUUUUUUGUAAGAGUAACGUUUACAGAUGUUUUCAGUAAUUUGAAGAUUUAUAUAAGGCCUGGUGACCUCUGUUAAUUCCUGGGACGCACAGUGUGGAAGAAAAGACCCGACUCCUGAAAGUUGUCUUCUGACCACAUAUAUACAAUAUGUAAAUAAAUGUAAUUUUUUUAAAAAAACUG